GAACUGAAGAGUUUGAUCAUGGCUCAGAUUGAACGCUGGCGGCAGGCCUAACACAUGCAAGUCGAGCGGAUGAAGAGAGCUUGCUCUCUGAUUCAGCGGCGGACGGGUGAGUAAUGCCUAGGAAUCUGCCUGAUAGUGGGGGACAACGUUUCGAAAGGAACGCUAAUACCGCAUACGUCCUACGGGAGAAAGCAGGGGACCUUCGGGCCUUGCGCUAUCAGAUGAGCCUAGGUCGGAUUAGCUAGUUGGUGAGGUAAUGGCUCACCAAGGCGACGAUCCGUAACUGGUCUGAGAGGAUGAUCAGUCACACUGGAACUGAGACACGGUCCAGACUC
rnacentral:rRNA from 1 species